rnacentral:rRNA from 1 species
UACGUAGGGGGCAAGCGUUGUCCGGAUUUAUUGGGCGUAAAGCGCUCGCAGGCGGUCCGAUGCGUCGUGCGUGAAAGACCCCGGCUCAACUGGGGGAGGGUCGUGCGAUACGGUCGGACUCGAGGCCAGUAGGGGGACGCGGAAUUCCGGGUGUAGCGGUGGAAUGCGUAGAGAUCCGGAAGAACACCGGUGGCGAAGGCGGCCCGCUGGGCAGGAAGACACCGCAAGGUGUCGGCUGACGCUGAGGCGCGACAGCGUGGGGAGCAAACAGG